GACGAACGCUGGCGGCGUGCUUAACACAUGCAAGUCGAGCGGAAAGGCCCUUUCGGGGGUACUCGAGCGGCGAACGGGUGAGUAACACGUGAGUAAUCUGCCCUUGGCUUUGGGAUAACUACCGGAAACGGUGGCUAAUACCGGAUACGACCACUCCUUGCAUGAGGUGGUGGUGGAAAGUUUUUUCGGCCAGGGAUGUGCUCGCGGCCUAUCAGCUUGUUGGUGGGUAAUGGCCUACCAAGGCUUCGACGGGUAGCCGGCCUGAGAGGGUGACCGGCCACACUGGGACUGAGACACGGCCCAGACUCCUACGGGAGGCAGCAGUGGGGAAUAUUGGACAAUGGGCGGAAGCCUGAUCCAGCAACGCCGCGUGAGGGAUGACGGCCUCGGUGUAACUCUUCUAGUACGACGAACGACGCCGAC
rnacentral:rRNA from 1 species